UGAGGAACAUGACCUUCGGCGGGGAUAGCCGGCCCAACGGCCGGGUAAUACCGCGUACGACCACAUGGGGACAUCCCUGAGUGGUGAAAGCAGCAAUGCGCCGAUGGAGUGCCUCGCGGCCUAUCAGCUAGUUGGUGAGGUAACGGCUCACCAAGGCGACGACGGGUAGCUGGUCUGAGAGGAUGGCCAGCCACAUUGGGACUGAGACACCGGCCCAGACCUNUACCGGGGAGG
rnacentral:rRNA from 1 species